UGUUCUCGAGUAACUAAAUUAGGUUCCCAAAUGGAAGUUGUUGUGUCAAUAUGAAAGGGGUUGGAAAGCAAGCCCAUAUGUAAGUUGGCCUAUUGGAUAUCUUUUCUUAUUAGGGCACGAUUGAUUAAAUAAGUCAGACAAUUUGGCGCCCAACUGUCCAAAAAAGUUUUCAAUUUCCGGGAAUUUUCUUUUCUGUUUCCCACAAAAAUUUCCCACUUUGUUUUCUCAAAUCUCUCCCGCCACUACAGGGAAAGAGGGAAACUCAAAACCAAAACCAAAUUCGAAAAUCUUGCAAUAAAAGAUUUUUUAAAAACCAAAGAAUUCAUUUCGUUGAAAAUCUGAGAAAUGGCUGUUGCUUCAACUUCAGCUUCUAAAAUGGAAGAGGAGAAGCAAACAAAAGGAAAUGGAAUUAGUGUUGUGGGACGAAAAACUAAUGAUUCUGAAACUGGAAAAACUUGUCACCAGUGCCGACAAAAAACAAUUGGUUUCUUGGCUCCAUGCAAGAACUUGAAAAGGGACAAGCGAUGCACAAUGAAGUAUUGUCAUAAAUGCCUAUUAAACAGAUAUGGAGAGAAGGCAGAAGAAGUUGCAUCGUUGGUUGAUUGGAAAUGUCCCAAGUGCAGAGACAUUUGCAAUUGUAGUUGCUGCAUGAAGAAAAAGGGUCACAAACCUACAGGUAUACUAGUGCACGCAGCCAAAGCAACUGGUUACUCUUCUGUUUCAGAAUUGCUUCAGGCUAAAGGACCUGAAAAAUUUGGAUAUGAAAAGAUUGUAAAAGAUAUGGGUGUUUCACCAAAGAAGCAAGAGAAGGAGUCUAUGGCCAUGUCACCAAGGAAGCUUGGGAAGGAAAAUUCUUUCGAUGGAGACUAUGAUUCCAAAGUUAAUUCUAAGAAUAUGACAUCAUUGUCUAAUAAAAAGAAAUAUAAGAAAAUGAAACGGGAAGGAUUGAAGGAAAUGUGUAAUGGCAACGGAGAUCAUGAAGCUUCUUUGAAGAAAACUAGUCCAAAAAAGCCUAAAACCUUGAAGGAAGCUCCUAAGAAAAAAGUGAAGGGAAAUGAAAAAGAUUAUGGUUGUCUUUCUGAUAAAAACAACUCCAAGUCAGAAGUACAAACUGAUGAUUCUUCCAGUGCCAGUAACGAAGAAACUAAAUGUGCAAAAAACAAGAAAGCAGGAGUUUCCAGUGGAGUUAAAAUUUUAGAGAUUUCUAAGAAAAGGGAGUCCACAACUUCUGAUGAAGAGUCUAGGAAAAAGCUGAAAUCAAAAGAAAAAUCUGAGGGUGCAUUUGUGGGGGAAAAGAAUUCUAAGAGGCAGGUUCUAGAAAGUAACACCAUAUCUCCUGUUAAAAAGAAAAAAAAUGGGGUAAAAGGUGAGGAUCCUGGAGGUUUAAAUGAUUUUGAAAAUGAGAACACCAGUGAUGAGCUCAAGUCAGCAAUAAAUCCUUGUACGGAUAAAAAGUUUACAGCACAGCUGUUUGAUAAAAAGUUUGACAUGGACAUUCAAUUGCCCCAAGGCACCACCUUAAUAACAGUGGCAGGUGUUGAUUUACCUCCCAAAGAUGUUGGACAUGCAUUGCAAUUCUUAGAGUUUUGUGCAGCUUUUGGAGAGGUUCUUGAUAUGAAGAAAGGGCAAGCAGAAUCUGUAAUCAGAGAAAUAAUGCGUGGACGCGGGAGAUGCCGAUUACAGUACUCUCCAGUAGUCCAAAUUCAUAUACAAUUGUUGUCUCUAAUACAAAAAGAUAUGGGGAAAAAAUUUCCAUCCUUAAAGGCAAGUGACAAUGGUUCAUGGUUCCAAGCCCUUGGCCAAUGUGUGUCUGAAUCUCAAUGUGCAUUGGAAGAAGUUCCUUUCGAUUUUUAUGAUAAUGGCGUGGAUGCAUAUAAUAUGUUAGACAGUUCUUUAAAGCUUAAACUCUUAAACUUUUUAUGUGAUGAAGCCCUUUGCACUGUAACUUUGAGGAAUUGGAUUGACAAACAAAAUUUGAAGUUUGUUGAUAGAGAGAAGGAAGCAAAAGAAAAGAUUCUUGUUGCAAGGGAUAAGGAAAAACAAUUAAGGCAGAAAAUGCAGGAUGAGGUUGCCAAAGCUAUUAUUGAAAAAAGUGGUGCUCCUUUGUCAGUUUCUGAGCAUGAAACUCUUAUUAUGCAAAUAAAAAGAGAAGCAGCUCAAGCUCAUGCAGAUGUGCUCCAGGCAAUGAGCAUGCUUCCAAAGAAGAGACCAAGAUCUGAUGCUGUUAGAACAGCUCCUAUUUUGUUGGAUGGUAGUGGUCGUACUUUCUGGAGAUUGAGAGGGUAUACCAGUGAAAAGUAUAUUUUGCUUCAAGAUAUUGGGACCUUAGAUCCAGUUGCACCUGAUGAAAAAUGGUUUCACUAUGAUGUUGAACAGAAACCAGAUGUAGAGAAAUACAUUUCUUCUAUAAGGCAGGGUAGGGGAAUCAGUGUUCUGGGUUCAGGAUGAGCAUUGAUAAAGAAAGCCAAAAGGGAUAAGGACCAAAUUUACCAUUUUAUUUAGAAUGAUGGAUCAAAUUUAUAAUUCAUCUUUGAAUGGGUGCAAUUUUACCAUUAUAUUUUUUUAAUUUGGUUAAAAAAUAAUCAAAAAUAAAUUGUAAAAAAAUAUUCCAUAAAAAACAUGCAAGUAAAAUUUUGUUUAAAGAUAAGUGGUAAAAUUGAUCCCUAAUCUUAAGUAAAGUGGUAAAAUUGGAUCUUAUCUCAUAAAGAAAAGAGAAGCUAUCAGUUUGGUCAUUGUUUUUUGAAUUAAAACUAUAACAUCAGUGAAUAAGACAUUAAUCCAAUUGCCUAACAGCUUUUUGAUCCCAUUGCACAGAACCAAAAGGAUUAGGAUUCAAAAACUUUCAGACAGCCUUCCAAUUGCUAGUGUUGAAGCAAACUUGUAGCAUGCAUCAUCCACAUGAUUG